UUAAUUUAUUUACAGGUCUACUUUGCCUGUAGUGCUGAGCUAUUGUGAUAGUUUGAUUUUUAUGAUUUGCAUCAAGUGUGAAGCUUUCAAAGCCAUGUGUCAAAGGUCAUGUGAGUGGCUCAGCAAUGUGUGACACUACAAAAACUGUGAGCAUGGUUUCUUAAAACACCAGUGCUUGUGCCAAGUAACGUUCAGAUGCUAUUUGCAGCAAAAUAGUUGGAACAUUCCAAAAAAACCCACCAACAUUGAAAAAUGACUUUCAUUCGGAUAUGAAAUGAAAAUGCACAGAAGAUGACCUGCAGGGGAGAAGGGAGAGAUACAGCUUGCAGCCAGAGACCUGAAACCUGCUGUAAUUAACUUGAUCAUCACUAGCAGGGCAUGCCAAGAUGAAACAAAUAUUAGGGAAAACUUGGUACACAUUAAUGUAGUUU
rnacentral:lncRNA from 1 species